AUUGAACGCUGGCGGCAUGCUUUACACAUGCAAGUCGAACGGCAGCGCGGGCUUCGGCCUGGCGGCGAGUGGCGAACGGGUGAGUAAUGCAUCGGAACGUGCCCAGUAGUGGGGGAUAGCCCGGCGAAAGCCGGAUUAAUACCGCAUACGACCUGAGGGUGAAAGCGGGGGACCGAAAGGCCUCGCGCUAUUGGAGCGGCCGAUGUCGGAUUAGCUAGUUGGUGGGGUAAAGGCUUAUCAAGGCGACGAUCCGUAGCUGGUCUGAGAGGACGACCAGCCACACUGGGACUGAGACACGGCCCAGACUCCUACGGGAGGCAGCAGUGGGGAAUUUUGGACAAUGGGGGCAACCCUGAUCCAGCCAUGCCGCGUGCGGGAAGAAGGCCUUCGGGUUGUAAACCGCUUUUGUUCGGGAAGAAAUCCUCUGGGCUAAUACCCCGGGGGGAUGACGGUACCGGAAGAAUAAGCACCGGCUAACUACGUG
rnacentral:rRNA from 1 species